rnacentral:tRNA from 1 species
GCCAGCGUAAUGUAGUGGUUUGAGCGUCAGACUAGGACUCUGGAGACUAGGGUUCGAAUCUCCACUCAGUUC